rnacentral:rRNA from 1 species
UACGUAGGGUGCGAGCGUUAAUCGGAAUUACUGGGCGUAAAGCGUGCGUAGGCGGUCCGCGAAGUCUGAUGUGAAAGCCCCGGGCUCAACCUGGGAACUGCAUUGGAAACUAACGGGCUCGAGUGUGGCAGAGGGGGGUGGAAUUCCACGUGUAGCAGUGAAAUGCGUAGAUAUGUGGAAGAACACCGAUGGCGAAGGCAGCCCCCUGGGUCAAAACUGACGCCCAUGCACGAAAGCGUGGGGAGCAAACAGG